rnacentral:rRNA from 1 species
GACGAACGCUGGCGGCGUGCUUAACACAUGCAAGUCGAGCGGUAAGGCCUCUUCGGGGGUACACGAGCGGCGAACGGGUGAGUAACACGUGGGUGACCUGCCCUCAGCUCUGGGAUAAGCCUGGGAAACUGGGUCUAAUACCGGAUAUGACCUUUCCUCGCAUGGGGUUUGGUGGAAAGUUUUUUCGGCUGGGGAUGGGCCCGCGGCCUAUCAGCUUGUUGGUGGGGUGAUGGCCUACCAAGGCGACGACGGGUAGCCGGCCUGAGGGGGCGACCGGCCACAGGGGGAGGGAGACACGGCGCGGACCCCUGCGGGGGGGGGGGGGGGGGAGUAUUGCGAAAGGGGGGGAGGUCUGACGCGGCGCCGCCGCGGGGGGAAGGGGGCCUUGGGGGUAAAAACCCUCUUCCGACCCCGACAAGUUGGGAGGGUGGGGUAAAAAAAAGCCCCGGCCACCUACGGG